AGCAAAGAUACCACUUUGAAUUUUCAAGCAUCAAACGUUUGCCAUAAACGCACAGUCAUUACUUUGUGAUCCCAAUCUCAAUUCGCCUGCAAAUUCUAAAGCUGCUCAAAUGUUUGCUCAAUGACUGCAGAGUUGGACAACAGAAAUAGUGGGGCAGAGCUGGAUAGCAGACUACCUCUUCCUUGGGCAGGGUAAUUCCUGAAGGUUUUAGGACAUGUUCUAUUGACAUUGCCAUUUCAUUAUCCAAUUUCAGGAGUUGUUGAAUUUAUCAUGUAUUUCUCAUGUCAACCUUUCACAUAUGAAUUGGAGAGCUAUUUGAUAAUUUUGAUCCA